rfam:Rattus norvegicus chromosome 1, whole genome shotgun sequence.
GGGGAUUUAGCUCAGUGGCAGAGCGCUUGCCUAGCAAGCACAAGGCCCUGGGUUCAGUCCCCAGCUCCG